AUAUAGUAGUGGUCUAAUUAAAGGAUACACGCGUGAAAGGCCCAAUUUGAAUGUACUUAACGUUUGUGAAGUUUUAAUAUUUUCAGUUUUCAGGGAACUGCGGAUCACCCUUUCCUUUAUACGCUGCAAUGAUAUGUGAAGUCCUCCAGAUAUCAGGAUCUUGAAGAGUUGUUAUAUAACCCGCGUUCUGGAUGAUGUGAGGGUUAUAUUACUGGUGUUUUGGUUGAAAUGAGGGAUAAGCCAAUGAAAUGGUGAGUUAAUGGCGAUUUAUUUGCGUGAGGUGCACGGAA